GCCCCGGUAGCUCAGCCUGGUCGGAGCGCCCAGGGGCAAAGCGGGAGGUCCCGGGUUCGAAUCCCGGCCGGGGCUCCA
rnacentral:tRNA from 1 species